rnacentral:rRNA from 1 species
UACGUAGGGUGCAAGCGUUAAUCGGAAUUACUGGGCGUAAAGCGUGCGCAGGCGGUUUUGUAAGUCUGACGUGAAAUCCCCGGGCUCAACCUGGGAAUUGCGUUGGAGACUGCAAGGCUAGAAUCUGGCAGAGGGGGGUAGAAUUCCACGUGUAGCAAUGAAAUGCGUAGAGAUGUGGAGGAACACCGAUGGCGAAGGCAGCCCCCUGGGUCAAGAUUGACGCUCAUGCACGAAAGCGUGGGGAGCAAACAGG